rnacentral:rRNA from 1 species
UACGUAGGGUGAGAGCGUUAAUCGGAAUUACUGGGCGUAAAGCGUGCGCAGGCGGUUUUGUAAGCCAGGUGUGAAAUCCCCGGGCUCAACCUGGGAAUGGCAUUUGGGACUGCAAGGCUGGAGUGCGGCAGAGGAGACUGGAAUUCCUGGUGUAGCAGUGAAAUGCGUAGAUAUCAGGAGGAAUACCGAUGGCGAAGGCAGGUCUCUGGGCUGACACUGACGCUCAUGCACGAAAGCGUGGGGAGCAAACAGG